AGAGUCUUAGGCUAAUCAGACCCGGGGCCUUCAAAGCCCCUAGCGGGGGUUGAACUCCCUCAGACUCUG
rnacentral:tRNA from 1 species